rnacentral:tRNA from 1 species
GUGUGAAUAAUUUAAGUAAAAUAUUAGAUUGUGAUUCUAAAAACGAGAGUUAGCCCCCUCUUCACAC